rnacentral:rRNA from 1 species
AGUGAACGCUGGCGGUAGGCCUAACACAUGCAAGUCGAACGGCAGCACAGUAAGAGCUUGCUCUUACGGGUGGCGAGUGGCGGACGGGUGAGGAAUACAUCGGAAUCUACUUUUUCGUGGGGGAUAACGUAGGGAAACUUACGCUAAUACCGCAUACGACCUACGGGUGAAAGCAGAGGAUCUUCGGACCUUGCGCGAUUGAAUGAGCCGAUGUCGGAUUAGCUAGUUGGCGGGGUAAAGGCCCACCAAGGCGACGAUCCGUAGCUGGUCUGAGAGGAUGAUCAGCCACACUGGAACUGAGACACGGUCCAGACUCCUACGGGAGGCAGCAGUGGGGAAUAUUGGACAAUGGGCGCAAGCCUGAUCCAGCCAUACCGCGUGGGUGAAGAAGGCCUUCGGGUUGUAAAGCCCUGUUGUUGGGAAAGAAAAGCAGCAGGUUAAUACCCCGCUGUUCUGACGGUACCCAAAGAAUAAGCACCGGCUAACUUCGUG